AUCCCCACCACACCCACCAUCUCCACCAUCCCCAACUUCUUUAAAGAGAAAGAGAGAGAGAGGGAGGGAGAAAGAGAGAGAGAAAGAGAGAGAGAAAGAGAGAGAAAGCUCACCUGAGCUCGUCGCCGGAACAACCGUGUGCCGUGAUCACGUUCAGCUUGCCACCACCGAUAAACGCCCUAGGUAACCGCCGGAAACCGCAUUCCUUAAGCUCAUUUUCUUUUCCGUUUAGUAAAUCACCCAUAACUUCCUAACCAUUGAUCAUCUCGUACAUCCAAGGCCAUCAUCGUGUUCCUCUCGUCGAGACGAAGCCGUAGACACCAACCACGCCU
rnacentral:lncRNA from 1 species